rnacentral:rRNA from 1 species
AAUAUUGCACAUUGGUGGAAACCCUGAUGCAGCAACGCCUCGUGAGCGAAGAAGGCCUUAGGGUCGUAAAUCUCUGUCCUAAGGGAAGAUAAUGACGGUACAUAAGGAGGAAGCCCCGGCUAAAUACGUGCUAGCUGCCGCGUUAAUACGCACGGGGCAAUUGUUAUCCGGAAUCAUUGGGCGUAAAGGGUGCGUAGGCGGCCUUAUGGGUCAGAGGUGAAAUCCUACGGCUUAACCGUAGUUAGCCUUUGAAACUGUAGGGCUUGAGUGCAGGAGAGGAGAGUGGAAUUCCUAGUGUAGCGGUGAAAUGCGUAGAUAUUAGGAGGAACACCAGUGGCGAAGGCGACUCUCUGGACUGCAACUGACGCUGAGGCACGAAAGCGUGGGUAGCGAAC